ensembl:rRNA 5S_rRNA 5S ribosomal RNA
AUCUAUGGCCAUACUACCCUGAACACAUCCAGAGUCUCUGAUCUUGGCAGAUAAGCAGGGCCUGGUUAGGACUUGGAUUGGAGGCUGCCUGGGAAUACCAAGGGCUGUAGACU